rnacentral:rRNA from 1 species
AUUGAACGCUGGCGGCAGGCCUAACACAUGCAAGUCGAACGAGUGGCGGACGGGUGAGUAAUGUCUGGGAAACUGCCUUAUGGCGGGGGAUAACUACUGGAAACGGUAGCUAAUCCCGCAUACCAUCAAAUGUGCCCAGAUGGGAUUAGCCUGUUGGUGGGGUAACGGCUCACCAAGGCGACGAUCCAUAGCUGGUCUGAGAGGGUGACCAGCCACACUGGAACGGAGACACGGUCCAGACUCCUACGGGAGGCAGCAGUGGGGAAUAUUGCACAAUGGGCGCAAGCCUGAUGCAGCCAUGCCGCGUGAAUGAAGAAGGCCUUCGGGUUGUAAAGUACUUUCAGCGGGGAGGCGUUACCCGCAGAAGAAGCACCGGCUAACUCCGUGCCAGCCGCCGCGGUAAUUC